rnacentral:rRNA from 1 species
AUUGAACGCUGGCGGAAUGCUUUACACAUGCAAGUCGAACGGCAGCACGGGAGCAAUCCUGGUGGCGAGUGGCGAACGGGUGAGUAAAGUAUCGGAACGUGCCCAGUCGUGGGGGAUAACGUAGCGAAAAUUACGCUAAUACCGCAUACGAUCUAUGGAUGAAAGCGGGGGAUCGCAAGACCUCGCGCGAUUGGAGCGGCCGAUAUCAGAUUAGGUAGUUGGUGGGGUAAAGGCCCACCAAGCCAACGAUCUGCAGCAGGUCUGAGAGGACGACCAGCCACACUGGAACUGAGACACGGUCCAGACUCCUACGGGAGGCAGCAGUGGGGAAUUUUGGACAAUGGGCGAAAGCCUGAUCCAGCCAUGCCGCGUGCAGGAUGAAGGCCCUCGGGUUGUAAACUGCUUUUGUACAGAACGAAAAGGUUUCUACUAAUACUAGGAGCUCAUGACGGUACUGUAGGAAUAAGCACCGGCUAACUACGUGCCAGCCGCCGCAGUAA